rnacentral:rRNA from 1 species
UACGUAGGGUGCGAGCGUUGCUCGGAUUGACUGGGCGUAAAGGGCGCGUAGGCGGUUCGUACAGUCAGACGUGAAAUUCCUGGGCUCAACCUGGGGGCUGCGUUUGAUACGUGUGGACUUGAGUGCGGAAGAGGGUCGUGGAAUUCCCAGUGUAGAGGUGAAAUUCGUAGAUAUUGGGAAGAACACCGGUGGCGAAGGCGGCGACCUGGUCCGAUACUGACGCUGAGGCGCGAAAGCGUGGGGAGCAAACAGG